AAGAGCGCGCUUAAAUGCAGUCGAAGAAUAGCAAUACUUAGUGGCAGACGGGUGAGUAACAUGUGGGUAUCUGCCCUUUGGCCUGGAAUAACACGAGGAAACUUGUGCUAAUACUGGAUAAGUCUUUACGGAGAAAGCUUUAUGCGCCAUUGGAUGAGCCCGCACUUGAUUAGUUUGUUGGUGGGGUAAUGGCCUACCAAGACUGUGAUCAAUAGCUGAUUUGAGAGGAUGAUCAGCCACAUUGGGACUGAGACACGGCCCAAACUCCUACGGGAGGCAGCAGUGGGGAAUCUUGCACAAUGGAGGAAACUCUGAUGCAGCGAUGCCGCGUGAGUGAAGAAGGCCUUUGGGUUGUAAAGCUCUUUCGUCGGGGAAGAAAAUGACUGUACCCGAAUAAGAAGGUCCGGCUAACUUCGUGCCAGCAGCCGCGGUAAUACGAAGGGACCUAGCGUAGUUCGGAAUUACUGGGCUUAAAGAGUUCGUAGGUGGUUGAAAAAGUUGGUGGUGAAAUCCCAGAGCUUAACUCUGGAACUGCCAUCAAAACUUUUCAGCUAGAGUUUGAUAGAGGAAAGCAGAAUUUCUAGUGUAGAGGUGAAAUUCGUAGAUAUUAGAAAGAAUACCAAUUGCGAAGGCAGCUUUCUGGAUCAUUACUGACACUGAGGAACGAAAGCAUGGGUAGCGAAGAGGAUUAGAUACCCUCGUAGUCCAUGCCGUAAACGAUGUGUGUUAGACGUUGGAAAUUUAUUUUCAGUGUCGCAGCGAAAGCGAUAAACACACCGCCUGGGGAGUACGACCGCAAGGUUAAAACUCAAAUGAAUUGACGGGGACCCGCACAAGUAGUGGAGCA
rnacentral:rRNA from 1 species